rnacentral:rRNA from 1 species
CUACGGGUCGCUGCAGUGGGGAAUAUUGCACAAUGGGGGGAACCCUGAUGCAGCAACGCCGCGUGGAGGAUGACACAUUUCGGUGCGUAAACUCCUUUUAUAUAAGAAGAUAAUGACGGUAUUAUAUGAAUAAGCACCGGCUAACUCCGUGCCAGCAGCCGCGGUAAUACGGGGGGUGCAAGCGUUACUCGGAAUCACUGGGCGUAAAGAGCAUGUAGGCUGGUUAGUAAGUUGGAAGUGAAAUCCUAUGGCUUAACCAUAGAACUGCUUCCAAAACUACUAACCUAGAAUAUGGGAGAGGUAGAUGGAAUUUCUGGUGUAGGGGUAACAUCCGUAGAGAUCAGAAGGAAUACCGAUUGCGAAGGCGAUCUACUGGAACAUUAUUGACGCUCAGAUGCGAAAGCGUGGGGAGCAAACAGGAUUAGAUACCCGGGUAGUC